CCCGGUUGAUCCUGCCAGAGGUUACUACUAUCGAGGUUCGACUAAGCCAUGCGAGUCGAAUGUAGCAAUACAUGGCGUACUGCUCAGUAACACGUGGACAACCUGCCCUUAGGACGGGUAUAAACCCGGGAAACUGGGUAUAAUCCCCGAUAGAUCUCGUCUGCUGGAAUGCAUCGAGAUCCAAAGCUCCGGCGCCUAAGGAUGGGUCUGCGGCCUAUCAGGUAGUAGUGGGUGUAGCGUACCUACUAGCCUACGACGGGUACGGGUUGUGAGAGCAAGAGCCCGGAGAUGGAUUCUGAGACACGAAUCCAGGCCCUACGGGUGCAGCAGGCGCGAAAACUUUACAAUGCUGGGAACAGCGAUAGGGAACCUCGAGUGCCAGGUUA
rnacentral:rRNA from 1 species